rnacentral:lncRNA from 1 species
GCAAGUCAGGCAGUACUACAUUAGGAGAGAAUUCAAUAUUUGACUCAUUUCUGAUUGCCUUUCUUUGUGUAUCAAUGCUGAUCUUGGUUUUUGCUGUAAUGAUCAAAUUAGUACAGAUUCAUGUACUGUUAUCAUCAGUUCUUUAGAAUUACACAGUAAUACUUCAUGCAGACCUGAAUCCAGCUCUAUAGUGUUUUGAGCUCCCAGCAAGUUCAUGGACCUGCAUAUGGAGUUUGCUCAUGAAGUUCUCCUUUUAUCAAGAGAUGUUGAGCUCAAUCCUGGGCCCAUAGCAGCUAUACUCAUUCUAGUAAACUACAUAACUGAUGUCGUUGCUGAUAAUUUUUUAAGUGUCACUAAUGAGCUUUUUGCUGUCCAGCUAAUACCAAACAAGGAAGGAUAUCAAGAGAACAUUCAUGGGUGUGCCUGAUUAUAAUAAGAAUUUGACUGACAUCUGUCAUGUCUUAUACAGCAGCAAAACCGGUCACUUAUUGACUUUGCUACAUGUGUACUUCUAUAUUAUACCAACUUGCUUUUACGUCAGGUUAAUUAUCACAGCUGGUGGAUAAUUCUGAACCAAUGGAGAGAGAAAUGAUAUCAGUGUAGAAUGUUUGAGCCGAUUCUCACUUAAUUUUUAAACGUUAUGACGGUCUCAUCCCUGUACUUCUAGUCAGUUGUUUCAUUUUGGUUGGAUACUCUACAUUCACAUUAAAAGUUAGUUUUAUAAUUUCAAAUGUCAUUCAUCCUUUUUGAAACAAUGACAAGAAAAUAGGAAUAAACUUAGAUGUUACUCAACUAAAC